rnacentral:tRNA from 1 species
GCCCCUGUAGCUCAGCUGGAUAGAGCAGCGCUUUCCUAAAGCGCAGGUCGCGCGUUCGAAUCGCGCCGGGGGUG